UGCUGGCGUGUCUGAACUGAGGU
rnacentral:piRNA from 1 species